UGUAUCCUACGGGGGGCAGCAGUGAGGGAUAUUGGUCAAUGGGGGAAACCCUGAACCAGCAACGCCGCGUGAGGGAAGACGGUUUUCGGAUUGUAAACCUCUGUCCUCUGUGAAGAUAAUGACGGUAGCAGAGGAGGAAGCUCCGGCUAACUACGUGCCAGCAGCCGCGGUAAUACGUAGGGGGCAAGCGUUAUCCGGAUUUACUGGGUGUAAAGGGGGCGCAGACGGCGAUGCAAGCCAGGAGUGAAAGCCCGGGGCCCAACCCCGGGACUGCUCUUGGAACUGCGUGGCUGGAGUGCAGGAGG
rnacentral:rRNA from 1 species